UUGUUCGUCCUCGCAGUAAAGGCUGAGUGGGUUGUGGUGCUGAGGACACGACUGCAGCUGAGCUCCACCUGAAACACUCACUUCCUGUCAGGAGGAACAAGUAAACUGACCACAGGUGUUCUUACCUGCAGAGCCUCAAUGAUUCGAGCCAAACUAACGUUGGGAGGAGGACUGUCUCCGUCCACCGCACAGCGACACACAGGACACUGCAGCUGGCCAAGCAGGUCCAUUGUCAUGGAGCGCACACAACACCUGAACAGGAAUGAUUACAUCAUCUGAUCAGUCAUCUGGCUGGUCGGGCAGGUGAUCCUCUGAAGUUAACAGGUUAGCCCUGCAGCAUUGGUUACCAUGGAGAUCUGCCCCAGUAACCCUGGAGAUCUGCCCCUUGAAAGUGAACUAGCUUUGUGAUACCAGAGAAUCUGAGGUCAGCUCACAGAGGCCGGGACAACAGCUUUAUGCACAAAUUUUUCAUUAUUAUUAAUUCUCCUCUUUUUAGUGUAUUUAUAAGUUUAAAAUUCAACUACAUAAGAAAUGUUUCUGAUUGAAGUUGUUUUGUGA